rnacentral:lncRNA from 1 species
UCCUCCACCUCUCGGCACAUUUCUUUCACCUUUAUGUCUCCUUCAAAGUUAAUCACAGGAUCUUCUCUCUGUUUCCUCAUGUUCUUCAGCUGAUCAAUAAUUUCAUUUUCCUCCUCUACAGCUUUGUUAUACUCUUCCGGUUUGUACUCACACCAGUUGAAAUAAACAAAUUCAUCAUCAUCUGAGGGGCCAUAGUAUUCCUGAGCUUUCUUUUUUACCCUUGGCCUUCUGCAAAUUCAUGCUAUCCUAUGUGUUCAGAAAAACAAUAUGUUCACCUGGUUGUGUGUACAUAUAGGCACAUCAUACAGCUCCUCACUGCUAGCUUUUUCAAAAGGAAACAAUACCCCGACCUCAUCUAUACUGAUUAUGUUGGAUUGCCCAACCUGGUCUAUUGGUAUCUGGGCCUCUCAUGAGUUUCCUAUGUUCAAAUAUCCAGGAUUAGGCUCAGUAGCCUUUAUUACAGUGAUGUUCAAACUUCUUCACUGUCUAUGACCUGCAAUCCUGCUGACCGCUGUCGCUCAUCUUUCACAUAGAAAAUGUAGUCGGCUUGAGUAUAUUCCUCCUCAGUCACCAUCAGUGUUAACAGGUUUAUGAAUGUUAUUUC